rnacentral:rRNA from 1 species
UGGGGAAUAUUGGACAAUGGGCGCAAGCCUGAUCCAGCCAUGCCGCGUGAGUGAUGAAGGCCCUAGGGUUGAAAAGCUCUUUCACCGGUGAAGAUAAUGACGGUAACCGGAGAAGAAGCCCCGGCUAACUUCGUGCCAGCAGCCGCGGUAAUACGAAGGGGGCUAGCGUUGUUCGGAUUUACUGGGCGUAAAGCGCACGUAGGCGGACUUUUAAGUCAGGGGUGAAAUCCCGGGGCUCAACCCCGGAACUGCCUUUGAUACUGGAAGUCUUGAGUAUGGUAGAGGUGAGUGGAAUUCCGAGUGUAGAAGUGAAAUUCGUAGAUAUUCGGAGGAACACCAGUGGCGAAGGCGGCUCACUGGACCAUUACUGACGCUGAGGUGCGAAAGCGUGGGGAGCAAACAGG